CCGGCCGCCAGCGGCGCUCGCAAAGUUCGGAUCCGCAAGGACCGGGCCAGCGGGACGUCCGCGUGGCUGUGGUGCACUUUCUCCGCGGUCGAGUGCUACGACCGGUUUCGAGGCGGUCAGAAGCCCGGCGGAAAGGUAGCGCCGCCCUUCGGGGUGUCGUGUUGUAGGCCGCCGCGGUGGACUCGCCGCGAGACCGAGGACGCUUGCCGCGCCGAGCGGUCCCGGGCCGUCUUGGGAGGUUCGACCUCGGCUGCACUGCUCCGCAGAGCACCGUAACCGCCGCCCUAGCACGGGUCCGGAGACCGCCGGCGCCUCGGGUCAGUAGCG
rnacentral:rRNA from 1 species